GACGAACGCUGGCGGCGUGCUUAACACAUGCAAGUCGAACGGAAAGGCCCUGCUUUUGUGGGGUGCUCGAGUGGCGAACGGGUGAGUAACACGUGAGUAACCUGCCCUUGACUUUGGGAUAACUUCAGGAAACUGGGGCUAAUACCGGAUAGGAGCUCCUGCUGCAUGGUGGGGGUUGGAAAGUUUCGGCGGUUGGGAUGGACUCGCGGCUUAUCAGCUUGUUGGUGGGGUAGUGGCUUACCAAGGCUUUGACGGGUAGCCGGCCUGAGAGGGUGACCGGCCACAUUGGGACUGAGAUACGGCCCAGACUCCUACGGGAGGCAGCAGUGGGGAAUAUUGCACAAUGGGCGGAAGCCUGAUGCAGCAACGCCGCGUGCGGGAUGACGGCCUUCGGGUUGUAACCCGUUUUCGCCUGUGACGAAGCGUGAGUGACGGUAAUGGGUAAAGAAGCACCGGCUAACUACGUG
rnacentral:rRNA from 1 species